rnacentral:rRNA from 1 species
GAUGAACGCUGACAGAAUGCUUAACACAUGCAAGUCGAUGGGGAAGUGGUGCUUGCACCAUGGCAACCAUGGCGGACGGGUGAGUAACGCGUAAGGGACUUACCUGCAGGACUGGGAUAACAGGGGGAAACUCCUGACAAGACCGGAUAAUGUCAUGGAGCUGCAUGGCUUUAUGAUGAAAGGAGACGCCUGCGGCGAGCCUUGCGUCCUAUUAGCUAGUUGGUGAGGUAAUGGCUCACCAAGGCGAAGAUAGGUAGCCGGCCUGAGAGGGUGGACGGCCACAAGGGGACUGAGAUACGGCCCUUACUCCUACGGGAGGCAGCAGUGGGGAAUAGUGGACAAUGGGGGCAACCCUGAUCCAGCAAUUCUGUGUGCACGAAGAAGGUUUUCGGAUUGUAAAGUGCUUUCAGCAGGGAAGAAGUAAGUGACGGUACCUGCAGAAGAAGCGACGGCUAAAUACGUG